rnacentral:rRNA from 1 species
UUGAAAGGGAAACGAUUGAAGUCAGUCGUACCGGCGGGUAAUCAGCCUUUCGGGUAUGAUUCUGUGGAGCGUGAGGAGUUAAACGCCUUCAUGCCUGCAUAUUCGUGCUCUUGGGUGUACUUGCUCGUGUGGUUGGUUAACAUCAAUCUCGGUUAUCAUAAAAUGGCUGGAGGAAUGUAGCUUCGAUCUCGUAUUGAAGUGUUAUAGCCUUCGGCAGAUGUGAUGAUCGGGAUUGAGGAUUGCAACGGAUACCCUUCGGGGCUACCUGUCUGGUCUCUGAUCGUUGCUUUGGUGCCGAAAGCGUGCUUACGGUUAUCAAAGUCGAUGGUCAAUAGGUUAGAACGGGUUAAAUUCGUUAAGGAUGUUGACGUA